rnacentral:lncRNA from 1 species
CUCUGGAUAUUUCAUUCCCGCGUUAUGAAAAUCAGAUCCCAGUCUUAUUCAUGAGGAAUUCCAAUAAGAUUAUAUUUACAGUUCUGGAAAAUUGCAAGUUAUGCAAACUUGGUUACGAUUUUGGUAAGUAUUUUUAAAUUCAAAAAUUGGACGGUUUAAGGAUAUAUAUUUUAAAAUAAGUUGAUUGAAACAUAAUGUUG